GGUGUUCUUUCAGUAAUUAACGAUGAUCGUUGUCUCAUCUCAAAAUACAACCACUAAAUAACAUUGAGAAGUGUAUUAAUUUGAUUUAUCAUCCAUAUUCUAUCUGUUGUCCUUAUUUAUAUAUAAAAUACUACAAUUAGCUGUCAUUUUUUACGGCACGG